UAGUAUGUUUAGCAGCAUCCUUGGCAUC
rnacentral:piRNA from 1 species